rnacentral:rRNA from 1 species
GAUGAACGCUGGCGGCGUGCCUCAAACAUGCAAGUCGAGCGGGGCUAUGUAAUAUCGCAAGGUAGAACAUAGCCUAGCGGCGAACGGGUGAGUAACACGUGGGUAACCUGCCUGGAAGACAGGGAUAACGAUUCGAAAGGGUCGCUAAUACCUGAUAAUAUCCUUUCAUCGCAUGGUGAUAGGAAGAAAGGGGAAACCCGCUUUCAGAUGGGCCCGCGUCCCAUCAGCUAGUUGGUAAGGUAAAGGCUUACCAAGGCGACGACGGGUAGCCGGUCUGAGAGGAUGUACGGCCACACUGGGACUGAGAUACGGCCCAGACUCCUACGGGAGGCAGCAGUGAGGAAUCUUGGGCAAUGGGCGAAAGCCUGACCCAGCGACGCCGCGUGGAGGAAGAAGGCCUUCGGGUCGUAAACUCCUGUUUGGGGUAGAAGAACAAGAGAGAAGUUAAUAGCUUCUCUCUCUGACGGUAUCCCGGACGAAGACUCCGGCUAAUUACGUGCCAGCAGCCGCGGUAAA